rnacentral:rRNA from 1 species
GUGUCAGCCGCCGCGGUAAUACGGAAGGGGCGAGCGUUGUUCGGAAUCACUGGGCGUAAAGCGCGCGUAGGCGGCCAUGCAAGUGCGGCGUGAAAGUCCUGGGCUCAACCUGGGGACGGCGCUGCGGACUGUUUGGCUGGAGUCCGGAAGAGGGUGGUGGAAUUCCGAGUGUAGAGGUGAAAUUCGUAGAUAUUCGGAGGAACACCGGUGGCGAAGGCGGCCACCUGGUCCGGCACUGACGCUGGAGCGCGAAAGCGUGGGGAGCAAACAGGAUUAGAAACCCCGGUAGUCC